GUGCUCGCCUGGGCAGCACAUAUACUAAAAUUGGAACGACACAGAGACGAUUAGCAUGGCCCCUGAGCAAGGAUGACACGCAAAUCCAUGAAGCAUUCCAUAUUUUU
ensembl:snRNA U6 U6 spliceosomal RNA